rnacentral:rRNA from 1 species
UACGUAGGGUGCGAGCGUUAAUCGGAAUUACUGGGCGUAAAGUGUGCGCAGGCGGCCGAGCAAGUCGAGUGUGAAAGCCCCGAGCUUAACUUGGGAACUGCGCUCGAAACUACUUGGCUAGAGUGUGGCAGAGGGAGGUGGAAUUCCACGUGUAGCGGUGAAAUGCGUAGAUAUCGGGAGGAACACCUGUGGCGAAGGCGACCCCCUGGUUGGAUACUGACGCUGAGACGCGAAAGCGUGGGGAGCAAACAGG